rnacentral:siRNA from 1 species
CUGUGAAUGAGCAGAGCCUCGUUA